rnacentral:rRNA from 1 species
AUUGAACGCUGGCGGCAGGCCUAACACAUGCAAGUCGAACGGUAACAGAAAGCAGCUUGCUGCUUUGCUGACGAGUGGCGGACGGGUGAGUAAUGUCUGGGAAACUGCCUGAUGGAGGGGGAUAACUACUGGAAACGGUAGCUAAUACCGCAUAACGUCGCAAGACCAAAGAGGGGGACCUUCGGGCCUCUUGCCAUCGGAUGGGCCCAGAUGGGAUUAGCUAGUAGGUGGGGUAACGGCUCACCUAGGCGACGAUCCCUAGCUGGUCUGAGAGGAUGACCAGCCACACUGGAACUGAGACACGGUCCAGACUCCUACGGGAGGCAGCAGUGGGGAAUAUUGCACAAUGGGCGCAAGCCUGAUGCAGCCAUGCCGCGUGUAUGAAGAAGGCCUUCGGGUUGUAAAGUACUUUCAGCGAGGAGGAAGGUGUUGUGGUUAAUAACCACAGCAAUUGACGUUACUCGCAGAAUAAGCACCGGCUAACUCUGUGCCAGCCGCCGCCGUAA